UACGUAGGGUCCGAGCGUUGUCCGGAAUUACUGGGCGUAAAGAGCUCGUAGGUGGUUUGUCGCGUUGUUCGUGAAAACUCACAGCUCAACUGUGGGCGUGCGGGCGAUACGGGCAGACUGGAGUACUGCAGGGGAGACUGGAAUUCCUGGUGUAGCGGUGGAAUGCGCAGAUAUCGGGAGGAACACCGGUGGCGAAGGCGGUUCUCUGGGCCUGACCUGACGCUGAGGAGCGAAAGCGUGGGGAGCGAACAGG
rnacentral:rRNA from 1 species